UUACACAAUUUCGUCAGAUUUCCACCACACAAGGUGAAUUGAAUUUUCAUGCAUGAAUACGCCAAAGUCAGGUCUUGACUGAUGUUUUUGUUGGCUAGUACUUGAUGAUCACAUACAAAGGUAAUUGUACGAAACACUACUGCUGGCCGACUACCGUGGAUAAGCACGGAUUUAAGCGGUGUGCAUGGUGGUUCUGGUUACCAAACAAAAUUCCUUUAUCGUUCCAGAAUACAUAUUCCCUUUGUCCGUCUAGUAUGUAGUUUGCUUUGCUUUGCCUGCCGUGCAUAACUUGACUAUUAGCAAUCUGAAUUUGUUUAACGAGAAUACUCUGGCAGAAAAAAAAGAACCCAAAUCGGUUAAAAACUCUUGAACAUUAAAGGAUUUUCCAGUCUAGUUUACUUUGUACACACACACGGAAUGCAAACUUUGGUCGUUUUUUUGUACCUUUUUUUAGCCACAGGCUGUCCUUUCUAUAUAACCACAGUCAACUCACCUUCAACUAAAAACAAAGCACAUCCGGAUAAAGUAAAAUAUAAAAAGAACACAAUUUGGAAGAUCCUUUAAAAGCAUCUCAAUCUAAUUUUCAUCUAAAGAGAAGAGAAGAAAGCAGCCAGGCAGGCAUGCAUUUACUGGAAAUUGGAAUUAAGUUCUUCAAUACGUGCGCUUUCCAAUUCUCGUCACCGUGAAAAAUCUAGGUCAAAAAUCGUAUCUGGGAAAAUGAUGUGCAACAACAACAACAGAAUCGGAUUCCUGUGUGAGUUUUGGAGGCUCGGUUUACAUGAAAUCUAAUCUCAAAUCGGAGUGCAAUGCAUGAUUGAGGCCGAUGCGUCAAAAAGUAUUUGUAUUAUUGAGCUUAUCUUGAACUAAUGGUUUUCUGAAAAAAAUAACCUGG